AACGAACGCUGGCGGCAUGCCUAACACAUGCAAGUCGAACGAGACCUUCGGGUCUAGUGGCGCACGGGUGCGUAACGCGUGGGAACCUGCCCUUAGGUUCGGAAUAACUCCCCGAAAGGGGUGCUAAUACCGGAUAAUGUCUUCGGACCAAAGAUUUAUCGCCUUUGGAUGGGCCCGCGUUGGAUUAGCUAGUUGGUAGGGUAAAAGCCUACCAAGGCGACGAUCCAUAGCUGGUCUGAGAGGAUGAUCAGCCACACUGGGACUGAGACACGGCCCAGACUCCUACGGGAAGCAGCAGUGGGGAAUAUUGGACAAUGGGCGAAAGCCUGAUCCAGCAAUGCCGCGUGAGUGAUGAAGGCCUUAGGGUUGUAAAGCUCUUUUACCCGGCAUGAUAAUGACAGUACCGGGAGAAUAAGCUCCGGCUAACUCCGUG
rnacentral:rRNA from 1 species